rnacentral:sRNA from 1 species
UUUCUUUUUUGCCGUGGUAGAGGGCCACACCCUGCAUUCCAAAAACCCUCUGCUGCCGGGCCACACCCGCCAACCCCGCUCUUGGAGCCUCUGAGGUCCGGCUGGGCGUCUAGCUCGCAGUUGACCCCCGGGAGAGGAUCGGCGCAUCCGGCCGCCCGCCAGAUCCAGACGCCGGGCUCCGCAGCGCCGCUGUCCUAGCACCAGGGCCGGGCAAGCAGGGGAACGGGACCGCCGGGACCGAUCAAGGCGCGGGCGCCCAGCAAGAGCCGCGCCCGGGGUCUGCGCGCCGCUCAGCGCGCUCGCCUUUCCGCCCGCGCCGGGGCUGGCUGCGCGCACCCUGAGCGCGAGGAGCCGCGCGCAAACUUGGUGCCCCAGGAACUUUCCAGGAGACACUGCCUCCGGGGACGAGAGACCAAGGAAGAAUCCUGCUCAAAAAUGAGGUGAAUUAAUGCUUGGGCGCUCAGGAACCCUGGACAGCUAUAUGAGGUGUUUAAAAACUGCCCUGACCAUCUUGCCAAACAAGUCUCUGCUCAUGAGGCCCCACAGGAUGAACGAGCCGAGGCAGGACAGUGUCCUGCCCUGUCGGAACAGUGACUGCUGACCUGCCAAGAGUGAGCUGGGGAC